rnacentral:rRNA from 1 species
UACGGAGGGGGCUAGCGUUGUUCGGAAUUACUGGGCGUAAAGCGCGCGUAGGCGGCUUUGUAAGUUAGAGGUGAAAGCCCGGAGCUCAACUCCGGAACUGCCUUUAAGACUGCAUCGCUAGAAUUGUGGAGAGGUAAGUGGAAUUCCGAGUGUAGAGGUGAAAUUCGUAGAUAUUCGGAAGAACACCAGUGGCGAAGGCGACUUACUGGACACAUAUUGACGCUGAGGUGCGAAAAGCGUGGGGGAGCAAAACAGG